rnacentral:rRNA from 1 species
AACGAACGCUGGCGGCAUGCCUAACACAUGCAAGUCGAACGAGACCUUCGGGUCUAGUGGCGCACGGGUGCGUAACGCGUGGGAACCUGCCCUUAGGUUCGGAAUAACUCCCCGAAAGGGGUGCUAAUACCGGAUAAUGUCUUCGGACCAAAGAUUUAUCGCCUUUGGAUGGGCCCGCGUUGGAUUAGCUAGUUGGUAGGGUAAAAGCCUACCAAGGCGACGAUCCAUAGCUGGUCUGAGAGGAUGAUCAGCCACACUGGGACUGAGACACGCCCAGACUCCUACGGGAGGCAGCAGUGGGGAAUAUUGGACAAUGGGCGAAAGCCUGAUCCAGCAAUGCCGCGUGAGUGAUGAAGGCCUUAGGGUUGUAAAGCUCUUUUACCCGGGAUGAUAAUGACAGUACCGGGAGAAUAAGCGCCGGCUAACUCCGUG